ACUCAAGGAAGCAGUUUAUCUCGAACUGUCAGUAAUUUUAGCGACAAUCUAUGUGAUUACAAUGAUCAUUCUUUAGAGCGAUUUUUGAAAAUUCCUCUUAUUGAAAAAGACAGGUUAUAUUCUGAAAAAAAUUAUGGAGUGAAAAAACUUGAUGAGAGCUAUGCUGCCCUAGAGAAUAAGUUCCAAUCAUAAUUUGGAAUAGUACCUGAAUCUACCUACAGAAAGAUUAAUCAAGAUCAUUGUUCCAUGAUAGCUAAAGUGAAGAAAUUAUAUAACGCUGAAAGUGACAAAUCAAUAAAAAAGAAGCUGCUUUCAAUUUUACCCGACAGUUGGGAAGUCAGUCGUAUUGCAUCUGAAUUUAACUGUUCUCGAAAAAUGGC